AGAGUUUGAUCCUGGCUCAGGACGAACGCUGGCGGCGUGCUUAACACAUGCAAGUCGAGCGAUGAAGCUCCUUCGGGAGUGGAUUAGCGGCGGACGGGUGAGUAACACGUGGGUAACCUGCCUCAUAGAGGGGAAUAGCCUUUCGAAAGGAAGAUUAAUACCGCAUAAGAUUGUAGUACCGCAUGGUACAGCAAUUAAAGGAGUAAUCCGCUAUGAGAUGGACCCGCGUCGCAUUAGCUAGUUGGUGAGGUAACGGCUCACCAAGGCGACGAUGCGUAGCCGACCUGAGAGGGUGAUCGGCCACAUUGGGACUGAGACACGGCCCAGACUCCUACGGGAGGCAGCAGUGGGGAAUAUUGCACAAUGGGGGAAACCCUGAUGCAGCAACGCCGCGUGAGUGAUGACGGUCUUCGGAUUGUAAAGCUCUGUCUUUAGGGACGAUAAUGACGGUACCUAAGGAGGAAGCCACGGCUAACUACGUGCCAGCAGCCGCGGUAAUC
rnacentral:rRNA from 1 species